UUCAGUUCAGACAUGCUAAAUGACCUGCCUUACGUUCAGCCCAUCAAGGGACACUAGGUCAAACCCGUGGGGCGGGCGGUUUUAUAAUAAUUACCCUGCCAAAAGUGCUCUGUAGGUUAGCUUGGAACCGGCAAGUUAAACAAGUAAGAUGAGUUUUAAGCACGGUAAAAACCGACAUGAAGUCGCAAACGAUGAACCUUAAACGAUCAUACCGUUCUAUCUACUUUUGGGUGUUCUUUAAUCGGAUUUAGAAAUGUCUGUUUUACUGGUUUAAUGUGAUCUUGAUCAAUGCUUUCCUUUCCCUUCAACGUGUUAUAAUUCUCUUCUCAACAUGCUAUUGUCCAACUCUUACGUGCAUUGUCCUAUCGGGAGAAAACACCACUACACGAGAGGACUGGAUUUAUUUAUUUCUUUAAUUUAUGGAUGUUGUCCGGUCUCCUCGAUGCUUUUUAACUGAUUGUGCUCAGACCAGUAUUACUCAGUACGCUGAGCUGUACAGAUGUGACUUGUCUUUUGCAUUCCUCACCUAACGACGGCAAGGAACUCCAAAGAAACCCGAUUGGAGCCGCGUUCUCGGAUGUGGCGAGUUUACAACCGGCGCAGAGGAAUGUGGAAAGCGAACUGCAAAUGUGGAUUGCAAAUCUGUUAGCGGGGGACACAGUGAUGCCUGAAAUGACCGCCCUGGACAUGGCCCAGCCUCGGCCGGCGGUGCUUCUGGUUUCGUUCCCCUCUGGGAGCCGAGAUGAGCUCAGCCCAGGUGUGGGCUCCUGUGCAGAUGCUGUCUGCUGACUCUCAGUGCUGUAGUGCAGAUGACUUUGCAGUCCAGAAGCCAAAAUGGUGCCCCAUCUACUCUGCUGAGUCAUUUUGUGGUUUUCCAUUUCUUUUUAAUAACUUAGAGCUUGUAGCCAACACAUUCCUCUUCCUCAACCUUCCUCCUCUAUGAAAAGCACGUUUAUGCUUUCAUCAGAUCAAUCCUUUCUAUUUGUUUUGGUUUCUUCUAUUUCUGAAGUUUGUUCAAUACGCUGUAAUUUUGGGAAAGAAUGAAAUGAUCUGACACUUUGAAUAAUACACUGAAUGAAAGCAGGCAGCCUGUUGUUUUCAGUCCUGCAGAACACUAAAUGGUAAAUGUCUGCAAUUAUGUUCAUAACCACUCAAAUCAGAAACUACCAAAACAAAAACACAGUUCUGUAGCACAGCAUGUUAAGCUUAUUUUGUGGUACAAUAUGAACUGCAAUUAAAAGACACUGAAAUGCA